UACGGAGGUGGCAAGCGUUGCUCGGAAUCACUGGGCGUAAAGGGCGCGUAGGCGGGAAGGUAAGUCGGGUGUGAAAUCCCUCGGCCCAACCGAGGAACUGCGCCCGAGACUGCUUUUCUUGAGUCCCGGAGAGGAAGGUGGAAUUCCCGGUGUAGCGGUGAAAUGUGUAGAGAUCGGGAGGAACACCGGUGGCGAAGGCGGCCUUCUGGACGGUGACUGACGCUGAGGCGCGAAAGCGUGGGGAGCAAACGGG
rnacentral:rRNA from 1 species